UACGUAGGGUCCGAGCGUUGUCCGGAAUCACUGGGCGUAAAGCGCACGUAGGCGGCUUUUUAAGUCAGAGGUGAAAUCCUGGAGCUCAACUCCAGAACUGCCUUUGAUACUGGAGGGCUUGAGUCCGGGAGAGGUGAGUGGAACUGCGAGUGUAGAGGUGAAAUUCGUAGAUAUUCGCAAGAACACCAGUGGCGAAGGCGGCUCACUGGCCCGGUACUGACGCUGAGGUGCGAAAGCGUGGGGAGCAAACAGG
rnacentral:rRNA from 1 species